UUUAGAGAGAUUGUUUUGAGAGUUUGAGAUCUUAAAGGUUUUGAGAGAGUUUCCUUUGAACUCAAUAAAGAGAGUAAUUCAUUAGUUUGAGUUCUUGAACAAUCUUUCUUAUUCUAUAUAUACGGUGUAUUGCAAUUGGAGAUUAUGAUAUGAGAAGGAUUUGAUCUAACUUAUAAGAAGGAACCUCUCUCUUACGUGCUUGAGAUUUUGGAUAUUCCAUGAAGGUAAGGCAUGUCUUAUGAAUGGUCAUGGAUUUUCCAAGACGAUGACUCAAAAAUAUCCAGAACUAGAGAUGAAAAAACCAUGUACGUAAACUUUGUACUUAUACCAAUUUAAGACUUUCAUUGUUGCCGUCCCCA